ACGGUAGAGACUACAAACUCGCGCUCAUCGCCAAUGAGCGGCAGGCGAGGCGAACGCG
rnacentral:sRNA from 1 species